rnacentral:rRNA from 1 species
UGUAAGCGUAUACCAAAGUUGUUGCAGUUAAAACGCUCGUAGUCGGAAUUUGGCGGUUCCGGAUGUGUGCACGUCGUGUGCGCACUUCGCGGGGAUUGCUUUUGUGGUCUUGCGUAGGAUGAGGCACUUUUAUUAGUGAACGUCCUCACGCAACCACUUUUUACUGUGAGAAAAUCAGAGUGCUCAAAGCAGGCAUUUGCCGUGAAUGUAUUAGCAUGGAAUAAUAGAAUAGGACUCGGUUCUAUUUUGUUGGUUUGUUGGGACUGAGUAAUGAUUAAGAGGGACAGUUGGGGGCAUUUGUAUUUCGGCGCUAGAGGUGAAAUUCUUAGAUUGCCGAAAGACAAACUGCUGCGAAAGCGUCUGCCAAGGAUGUUUUCAUUGA